rnacentral:rRNA from 1 species
AAAUAGAACUUUGUAGAGAGAGUUAACAGGGCGUGAAACCGUUAAUUGGCAAACGAAUCGGAGCCACGAAGUCGUUUCGCUGAUAGUGAGGCCUUGCUCAGCGGGGAAACAAAAAUUUUCCCGUGUAAUCCUGGCCUUGCCAUCCUUGUAAGCGUACACUGCAACCAGUUAGACAAUUGAUGAUGGAAACAGUCGCUCGAGUUAGAAGUAGCACGGCGACUCUCGGGUUGUUGUGUUGCUGGGCUCGUGGCAAGUGAACUAUCGUCAAAUACUGACUGGCAAAAUGAAAAUCACCCUGUCGGGUGUUUCCAUAAAAUGCGGUUUGCAUCAUGUGUGUCUACGUGCACGACCAUGCGGUUUUAAGCUCAACAUUUUUGAAUUUGGACUUGCUGGCUAUCAAUGGGGCAACUCUUGAUGCCAGUAUAGCCUCCAUCUAAUCGGGUGUUGACUUGAUCAUAUGUUGUUCGGGUACGAAUCGUUUGGGCGCGCAUGAAAGUAAAUUCGCCAUUAUUGGCAGUGAGUAGGUCGGCUUUCCGAACGACCCGUCUUGAAACACGGAAGGAGUCUAAUUAGGUAUCGAGUCGAUCGGUCUUGAAUAGGCCAGAUAGAUUGAGUUGCUCAGUCGAAGGCGUAGAGACGUGUGAUCGUGGGAUGAACUAAUUCUAACGCGCAACAUGUGCCUGUUCGUAUGUCAAUGUGCAAGAUUGACGGCGGAGUAAAGAGAUACCUGAUUGGUACCCGAAAGAUGGUGAUGCUUGGGCAAAUUGAAGCCAGAGGAAACUCUGGUGGAGGAUUUAGUCUGACGUGCAAAUCGAUCGUCAGCCUGAGUAUAGGGGCGAAAGACUAAUCGAACCAUC